CACGGAUUUGCUUUGCAAUAAUCUUCCACAACCACCUCUGAAGAUGCUCUCUGCUACACAAGUAUUCGCAGCCGUAGCCUUACUGGGCAUGCUCGCUUAUGCUGCUGCGGACCCAAAUGUUUUUGAUGAUAUCGAAACUGGAUUGAACCACAUUAUAGGACACGAUAAAAGUCACAACUAAAAGAGGAAAUUCUUGCCAGAAAAUGCAGAGAUUGUAUGAGGAUAUGAAGAAAUAAUAAAAUGUUUUGAUUAAAUAA